AACCCUUGCAGGCUUACACGAAAGAGCUGGAGGCUAAGGUUAACCAGCUCCGAGAAGAGAAUGCCAGGCUCCAAGAAGAGGAGCAAAAAAACUUGGCGAGGAUGAACCACCUGCUCUAUGAAUCAAUGGAUGAGCAAGCACAAAAUAAUGGGCAGAAGACCGUCUGCAUUCCCCGUCGCCAUAACAGUUGCCCGUGGUGGUGAGAUGUCAUCCAUCAUCGCCGGCUCCAGUUCCCCCAUGACCCCAGUUUAGUAGUUUAAUAGAGUAAUGGGAUGAGAGUUGCUGUUGGCUUCUGUUUCUUAUAGAAUUCAUGUCUUAUCAUCGCUGUAUUAUAGUCGAAGUACUUUCUGUAGACGCUUGGAUGGAUUUUGUAGAACAUGAAAUCAAAAUGGAAUAAAAGUUUCUCCCUGUUCGUUUUUCGACUAUAUA